UUUUUAACCAAUCCAUUUGUUUAAUUCUUAAAUUCUUGACAUUACAGAACUAAACUGAAAUUUAUUAACAUUCCACUCUUACAUUUCUUAUCGACAAACAGAAAAUAAAAUCCAUGAGCCAAAAAAACCCAAACGAAACUAAAAACAGGGAAAAGCUUAUAAAACUAAAUAUGGAUCCCAGCAUUAACGGCUGAACAGAGAAUGUGAUUUUUCUUUAAAUUCUUAGCGGAUGAUAAAGUGUAGAAACUGAACACUUACAAAUUAUUUAAAACCUGGAAUUACCGACCAGAAAUUACACAGUUGGAUCAUGGGAAACAGCAGGAAGGGGGUUACGAGCGAACCUACGCUGUUCUAGCUGCACCCCAUCCCCUUCUCAGAGGAAAGCCUGGCAUUGAUUAGAUACUGGGCCAGGCUAAUACUGGCAGCCGAGCCAGUAAUAGUGACCUGCCUUCCAGAAGAGCCUUCCACCGGGUUGGCAAUUUUGAUCUGGGCCCCGGACAUCUGGCGGAUCUCAUUGAUGUUGGCGCCUUGGCGCCCGAUUAUGCAGCCGAUUAAGUUAUUUGGAAUGGUGAGUUCAUGGGUGGUUUGAGUAGAUGCAUCCAAACUUGCCCAAUAGCCUUUCACCUCUGGAGAGCUGGAGUCAAUUCCGGCGAAUCCCGUCCCGCCGUGCAUCAUGGCAAAGUGAGACUGUUGUCUUGCCACCUGGUUCAGCUUGGCCAGAUCCAGCGGAGAAAUGGUGUGUUGUCCUUGAAUCGAGUAGGCGUCUAGAGGUGGUCCCUCCAGGUCGUGGGUGGCGUGGGGGUAGCCCGCCGCGUCGCUGCAGCGAUCUUGGCCGCCCGCGCAGAUGACUGGCGAGCUGGCCGGCAUGGGCUGGUACGGGAUGGUCAUGACUCUCCCCUGUGGAGACUGGGAGAGCGUCUCCAGCAUGACCAGGCAGAUCUGCUUCACACACUCGGUGACGGACUGCGGCACGCCGGCGAUAGUGAUAGCCCGCUCGGUCGAGUUGGGCAGCAUAUCCCCCGCCACCUGGACCUGGGCCCCGGUGCUCUCGCGGAUCUCCUUGAUCUUGCAGCCGCCCUUGCCGAUCAGGGAGCCACACUGGGUGGCGGGCACGACCAGCCGAAGUGUGACCGGGGGCCUGCUGGCCGCCGUACUGUUGGUCAUGGAGCUGUUGAUAUCUUCCUCCAGCUUGUCGAUGAUCAUGGCGAAGGCCUUAAAGAUGGCAUUGGUAGGCCCAGUCAGCGUGAUGAUCCUCUCCGGGCAGUUCCCCUCCGAGAUGUUGAUCCGCGCGCCGCUCUCCUCGCGGAUCCUCUUCACCGACUCCCCUUUCUUCCCGAUGAUGCUGCCUACUUCCUUUCCGUGCAUCAGCAGCCGAAUGAGCAAGACAAUCCCAGAGAGAUGAAUGAAGUGAAUGACCCAAGGUUACACAGGAUGGAACCUAUAUCUUCUGAUUUCUCUACUGGCCUGCACUCCACGUUCUGAGGAGGAGUCCUUGAAGCUACUGAGAUAAUGGAACAAUGGAGUAGAUAGUCCAUUAUAACUCAUCUGGGAUUCUUCUCAACUUCAAGUGACCACAGGUGGAAACAUGGUCUGGUAACACCACGCUUCCGGAUGUGAUUGUGGAGCUGGAUUGCUUAACCUGGGCUAAGUCAUUUAUCUUCCUGUGUCCCUCAGUUCUUCAUGGGCUGCAGAAGUGUUAAGAGUGCCUGCUUGUCUUCGAGAGGACCAGAGAUCAAUUCCCAGCAUCCAUCCCUGGAAGCUACAGGGAAUUCAACACUCUUCCUGACUUCCUCAAACACCUGCACACAUAUGGCUUAUAGACACACAGGGAAAGAAGUAAAGGAAAUCUUAAAAACAGCUGUGUAUUUUUAAAUUUAGUCUGUGUGUGUCUGUAUGUGUCUCUGUGUCUCUGUGUGUGUAUGUGAUAGUUUUCAGCCUUUUUCCACUGUGCUACCAGCGUGUGUGUGUGUCAUGGGGCUUGGCAGCAGGCACUUUACCUGUUAAGCUUUCUCUCUGCCCUCUACUUUCAUUUGGAUAGCUGUCUAAACCGUCAUUGAAGAGACAUUUUCCUUGUGAGGUCCUGGCUGGCUCCAUACUCUGAAUUCCUCCUUCUGUUUGUCCAGGGCUGGGGUGAGCUGCACGUGUAGAUGUGCCCUGAUGUUUGUUCCCCUUCUCCCAGCACAUCAGAGAGUGGACCAAUGUCUGAAUGUGGUCAAGAAUGAAUGUGGGCCGGGCCUGGUGGCCCAUGCCUUUAAUCCCA
rnacentral:lncRNA from 1 species